rnacentral:rRNA from 1 species
AACGAACGCUGGCGGCAUGCCUAACACAUGCAAGUCGAACGAGAUCUUCGGGUCUAGUGGCGCACGGGUGCGUAACGCGUGGGAAUCUGCCCUUUGGUUCGGAAUAACAGUUGGAAACGACUGCUAAUACCGGAUGAUGACGAAAGUCCAAAGAUUUAUCGCCAGAGGAUGAGCCCGCGUAGGAUUAGCUAGUUGGUGUGGUAAAGGCGCACCAAGGCGACGAUCCUUAGCUGGUCUGAGAGGAUGAUCAGCCACACUGGGACUGAGACACGGCCCAGACUCCUACGGGAGGCAGCAGUGGGGAAUAUUGGACAAUGGGCGAAAGCCUGAUCCAGCAAUGCCGCGUGAGUGAUGAAGUCCUUAGGGUUGUAAAGCUCUUUUACCCGGGAUGAUAAUGACAGUACCGGGAGGAUAAGCUCCGGCUAACUCCGUGCCAGCCGCCGCAGUAAUAC